GCCUUCGUGGUGUAGGGUCAGCACACUCGGCUCGUAUUCAAGAAGCUCGUGGUUCGAGUCCCAGCGACGGCA
rnacentral:tRNA from 1 species